rnacentral:lncRNA from 1 species
UUUUACCUUUUUCAUUUAAAACAAACCUUCGCUCAUCGGGGGCAUAGUGUAGUCGAAUCUCCGUUGUUGAGUUAACCUUUGUCAAAUGGAACUCAAACUUCAUGUACAACCACAUAAACUGUUUAAGGCACGAAUAUAAAUUGAAAACAAAUUUGGAAAAUUUCGUUACCUUAUUCUCCAAAACAGAUUUGGACAAAUUCGAGGAUUUUACACAAGGUAAAUCAAGAGAAUAACAAAUCACGCUUCUUUUCGUAAUGACUUUAUCAACCACAAUCGAAGAGUAACAAUUAAUCGGAUCAAAAUGAGGGGAUCUUUUAAGAACUAAGUCACCAAAAGUUUUAUCAAUAAUUUUCAAAUCUGCACUGGACUCGGUUUCUAAAAUUUCCUUACCUCGCUUACCUUCAGGAUCAUGUAGUGUGAUUUCAUCUUUGCCUAAGUUGAUCGUAUGAAAGCGUCUUUCAUUUGAGAGGUAUUGAAGUUGAAAGUUAUCUUUCGAAUGUGGCCAAUGGAAGUGUUCUAUCCCACGUAAAGGUGGUAAACCUUUAGGGGUCUUACUAAAAACAUCCUCAUAAUCCUGCAAAAAACAUUGAAGCACACUAGGCAAAUUUUCGUUAAUGUUAGAUAAAGAUAAAUAGUUUUGCCUAAACCUCACAAGGAUACAAGGCUGUUUAUUGAGUAGGGCUCUCCGCACAUCUUUUUUUGUUGCCAUCAAAUUUUUCACUCUCAUUUUACCACUUGCGGAUUCACUCACCUUUGGGCUAUUUAGAUUUUGACUUUUUUCACUACUAGCCUCUUUUCUCUCUGUCUUUUGUAUUUGUCCUUUCUCCCUUACCCUCUCACAAAAUUUCAUCAUCUUCAAUUGAUCUUUGUAUACAUCAGUGGGAUUUAAAGGAGCAAAAGUGAAUUUCUUACCUUUAAAUACAAGGGAGUAUCGAUUAAGUUUACCUUGGUGUGUAACAUCACGAUCAAAUUGCCAAGGUCGUCCAAGGAGCAAGUGUGUCGCAUGCAUUGGGACCACAUCACACCAAACUUCAUCUUCAUAAUUGCCGAGCUUAAAAGUGACCAAGGACUGUUUUGUAACUUUUACUUCGGAACAUUCAUUAAGCCAUUGAAGGUGAUAUGGCUUAGGGUGUUUGGUACAAGGCAACUUUAAAGAAUCCACCAAAUAACUACUCACUACAUUCGAGCAACUCCCACUAUCAAUAAUGAGUGAACAUAAGUUACCUUUAAUAAAACACCGAGAAUGGAAAAUAUUGGUCCUUUGGCUCUCAUCAUCUUUCAUCUGAAUGUUAAGGGUUCGACGAACUACAAGGCAUUGAAAAUCAGCAAAGUCCCCUUCUCUGGGUGGUUCAACCAACUCUUCGUCAUUAUCACUGUCAUCAACAAGUUCUGGCAUAUCUGGAUCUGUUUUAUCAGAGUCGGAAGUAUACUCACCAUUAUCUUUCAGAAGAAGGAAUCUCGUGUUAGGGCAUUCCCUACUAUAAUGACCACGCCCUUUGCACUUAAAACAUUCAACCUCACGAGUUCUCUUCACACUCGAAUCACCUAAAUUGGGCUGCUUAGAAGGUGUUUACGUUUUAACAGGAGCCCCUUUUUUCCAAUCUGACUGCUUGUUACUCAAAGAAGACUUAUUAGUAACAAAAGGUGGUUUUGAGCUCUUAAAAUUAGAAUUAGAAUUGUUACCUCGGUAAUAUUGUGAAGUAGAGAAUGACCCAAACCUUUUUUCCUUUAAUUGUUGCUCGAUCUCAAUGGCUUUGUGAACUGCUUCUUCCAAAUCAAUGUAAGUUUAUAGCCUCAAUGUAUUAGCUAUCGGCCUGUUCAAACCAUCAAUGAAUCGAACCAUAGUUGUUUCUUCAUCCUCCUCCAUGUUAGCUCUCUGAAUGAGCAUCUCCAUCUCUUUAAAAUAUUCAUCCACUGUUCUACUACCUUGGAUAAGUCUUCUCAGCUUUGUUUUAAUUUCUCUAUAGUAGUGAGGUGGAAUAAACCUUUUACGCAUAAUCUGUUUCAACUCAUCCCAUGUCGAAAUCUCACCUUCAUAAUUCUGAUGGCGGUUUACCCCAAGUUGAGUCCACCAACUUAAUGCAUAAUCAGAAAAUUCCAGUGUUGCUAACGCUACCUUUUCAUCAUCCGGACAUUUAUAAUACCGAAACAUAAGUUCAAUCUUAGAUUCCCAUUCACAAUAAGCGUCAGGAUCAUUCUUACCACGAAAUUGGGGAACUGUGAAUUUCGGUUUUGCCAAAGACGGUUGCCCACGAUCAUGAAAAUCAUCAUCCAUUCUAGUGACACGUCGAGGGCCGCGCCUCUGGGGUUGGUUAUCCCUAUCUUCUUUGAUUGGAUCUCGAUAUUGAGGUUCUUGAUUCAAUCGCACCUCAUUGAUGGUAGCAGUCAAAGCUCGAAGAGCAGCAGCCUGUUCAUCCAACUGUUGUUGGAAUUUUUUAAAUAUGUCACCAUUAUUAUCACCUGUAGACAUUUUUUUUAAAACCUGCAAAACACUCAACACUCAAAAAUAAAAGUUAUCAAACCUCACCGUUAAUCACUCAAAAAGAAAAAAUCAAAUUCUCAAUGAGGUCGAAUUCAAUCUUGUGAGUUCUUUAUCAGAGUUUAUAUCAACCAAUUAGAGAGUGUGAACCAAACUACCAAAGAAUCUUAAUUUGCACUAGGAUGCCAAAAACUGACGAGACACCAAUUGAUUCGUGUUGCACCGAGGAAGAAGUUGUGCACACGUGUAAAUCCUACUAACACAAGAAACAAGAAGGUGUUAGAUAACGUAACGGAAGAAUAAAAGCAAAAAAAUGAAAACCUACAGCUAAGAAUCAAUAAAAAUUGCUAAAACCAGAAAACCCGAAAAACUGCGGAGUAACUUGACAACUUCGUUCGAGGUGUUCCAGAUCUCCAAAAAUCACGAAAUUAAAUCUGGAGUGUCCUUAUAUAUUUAAUAUUUGAUCUGGAAAGUUUGGGCACCAAAUUUAACCCACUGAAUCUUUUUUUAAAUUUUUAUUGAGUUUCGUCUUUUUUUAUUUUUUUGACUUUUUUGACUGAUUUUUUUGGGGGAUUAAUUUUUUAUAUUCUAUCAUAGUGCCACAAAUAUGUAUGUAAAAUUUCAGAUCAAUCGGACAAUGUUUACCCAAUCAAAUGAAUUUUUUUCGAACAAUUUUUCUGGGUAAAACUGCUGUUUGUGCUUUAAAAAAUAGAGAUCAGUUUAGAAAUCAACCAAGAACACCCGAAACGCCCAAAAUUUGAUGCCAAAUGAUACGGGGUUGCGCGCGGACCAAGAUAAAGUUUCCAAGUCACGGGAAACUCCUAAGAAAGCUCUAAAAGAACAGAUCUGAAAAUUAAAACAAAUAACAAGAUUAACCGAAUCAGAUUUGAAUUUAAAUCCCCAAAUUCGAUUAAAGGAGCAGCAAGAAACAAAGAAAUAGAAUAAGCGAAUCAAACGGAAUUGAAAGUAUGGAAAGGAUGCGAAUCUGCCAAGGGAUUGAUUCGGCCAAGAAUGCCUAAUUUCUAGCAAUCAAUUGAUCCCCAAAUUGAAAGAGAUCCAAUCGGCCAAACCCUAGGAAUUGGGGAUUUUUUGAGAACGACUCUUUGCUGCCAAAGAAUGAUGAUUUAAUUCGAUUCUUUGAGUUGAAUAUGGCUGGAAAAACAAAAGUAGAACAGCAAACAAAUGAGAUAAAGAAUCGGAACAAGUAGGAAUAAAGAAAUAAAACGAAACAGCAAGAAAUAAAGAAAAGAAAUUGAACAGCAAGAAUAAAAGAUAAGUCCUAAAGAUCCUUGAAAUCUCGAAAGAUUUCACAAAUCUCUUCAAACGGCUCUAAUCUCCCCUCCAAAGAAUAUCGAUGGCAAGAAGAAGGUUGAAGAUGGCUCCCAUAAUCAAGAGAUUGUUAAAACAACUUCUAAAGAAAGCUCAAGAGAGAAUUCUUGGAGAAAACCCCAAAGAAAAUUCUGCACUCUAACAAACUGAAAUUUAAUGUAUUGAAUGAUAAUAAGAUGUGUUUACAAAGGGUGGCUGGCCAAUGCUUAUAUAGGCCUCCAACAAAUCCUAAUCUCACAAGUAACUAAUAAAAAUUAAACCUAAUUAAUAAAAUAACAAGGUAAAUUCGGCCAUGCACUUAUAUGGGCUGUUUUGGGCCGAAUUUUACAUGUAAUGCUCCUAAAGAUUAAAAAAUUAAAUUAAACAAGUAAGAUGUUUACAAAUUGGGCCCUUUGACAUUUUGGCCUGAUUUUCAACUAAGUAUGAAGAAAUUUCUUGAUUGGGCUGGAUUUGCUUAUUGGGCCUCCCCUUUAAAAAUUUGGGCUUGUGAUCCAUCUCCUACCGAAAUUAGGUCGUUGACGCUCGUAAUGGAGAUCCAACGCGCUUUGGCUGCAAGAUUCGGUUUCUUGGACCAAGAUUUCCAAUAUUUGAAAUCUUGAUUUUCUUGAUUCUUGAAAUCGCUCCGAACAGCAAAAUUGGGCCAAGAUUCGAUUUCUUGAUUUUCUUGAAAAUAAUAAAGUGAAUCUUGAUUUUCUUGAUUUGAGCCCAUUACCUUCUUAAGCUUGGGUUGGGCCUUUGUGACUCGUAUCAAAAAAGAUGGAAAAACAAGAUGACAACUUUUUUUUCCUUAUUUUACUAAACUUAUUUAAUAAUUUACAUUUUGAACCUUUAAUAUUAACCUGUAAAAUCACUUAAUUCAUGCCCAUAAAUGUCCACUCAUAAUAACAAUGGUCUAAUUACCAUUUAAAUCCCUUAAUCAUUGAAUUUCAUAGCCAUUUCGUACCUUUAACUUAUAGAACUCUAAUUUUACAUCUUUUACGACUUAGUCCUUUUCACCAAAUUAAACAUGCAAACGAUAAAAUUUCUUAACAAAAUUUUUAUACGAUCUUGCUAAUAUUUUGUAGACACAAAAUAAUAAUAAAAUAAAUAUUCUCACAUCAGAUUUGUGAUCCCAAAACCACUAUUCUGAUUUCACUAAAAAUGGGUUGUUACACUAAAUGUAAAUAAUUUGUAGCGAAGUUAAAAGUACUUAGAAAAAUUUAUGUUUGAAUUUAUUCGCAAUCAAGUAAAACCAUUUAAGUUCUAAAAACAAUAACUAAAACAUUUAAAUUUUCUUCAAUUAUGCAUGCAUAGUAGUUAUUGUAUCAAAAUUAUAAAUAACCAAAAACUAUCGAUGUCCAAAAACAAACCUAAAGAGUUUAUAAAGUAUUUUAUUAAAAUUAAAUCUGAGAGACUCCUCCAAAUGUUGCAUCCAAGUCCUAUGCACGGGUAUUCUCUAAAAACAAUUAUGAAAAUUAAAUGGGUGAGCUAAUAAGCUCAAUGUGAGUUAUCAUGAUAAAUAUCAAAUAUCACUUAAAACAUAUCAAAGUUAUUUUCAAACACAUACUAAUCAAAUAUGCAUACUUUUACGCACGUGAUAAUGUCAAUGCAAAUUUUUCAUAAAAACGAUUACGCAUAAUUUUUCAAAGCAUCCUAUCCAUCACCGCUACAUACCAAAAGGAGUUCCUCAGAACUCAUCCAUCCAUAACAAACCAGCACAUAUGUGGACAAAGCCACCAAAUUUGCAGAUAAGCUACCAAUACACAUAGUUGUGGUCAAGCCACCAAAAUCGCAGACAAGCUGCUAAAACACAUUUGUGGAUAAAGCACCAAUAUUUGCAUAUUAUUAAGCUACCACAUCUUCCUCUUUACAAAUUGUCCCAACCCCAUGUAAUGCAUCAUGGUAUGCAAUCUCUUUUACAAAACAAUAGGCAUAUUAACAUGCUUUUUUAUACAAACCAAUAUCAAUAGUCAUGGUAAUCCAUGCUUACAAAAUGAUCAUAUAACCAUAAUAUCACACAACAUGAGAUUAGAAUGAAAUCACAUAGUAACAACACAUAUGAUAUCAUAUCAAUAAGAUUUAAGUAAAAAUAACUUACCUUAAAUCCACAUAAUCACUAACAUGAUAUUUUGUUAUGUCUUAUGUUUGUAAAAAUAAUUAGUUAAUCAUAAUCAAAAUCAUCACAUAUUGAACUUGAAUAAAACACUCACCUUAAUCUUGUCCAAAACAUGAAUCCUAACCCAAACUCGAAUACUUCAGUUCCAAACGAGUCAAGACUAAAUUAAUACCCUUCAAACCUCUUCCACCAAAAUUCCAACUUGGAUACACAAAAAGAUUAUGACUCUCGGAUCAAACCUUCAAUCCAAAAUAAUCCUUUGGUUAAAGAAUAUACAACUCUACUGCAAAGGAAAUAUCAGAAAAUAAAACUUUAGCUUAAUAAUUACACCUUUACUCUAAAGAUCAGAAAGAGCUACAAUUGAUGAUGAUCUAUUUGAUUUUGAGGAUCUAAUCAUUGAAGAAAAAAUAAGAAUAGAUUAAAUGGAAUUACCAUAAGAUGAAAGUAGGAUAUGAAGAUUUUAAAAAUAAAGAUAGAAGAAUAAAAAAAUAAUUUGUUUACCAAUAAUUGUCAAGGAUGACAAAUUAUAAAGAACACUCCAAAAUGAUUUUAGGAUUUGAUAAUAUAAAGAAAUAAAGUAGGGAAAAGAAUUAAAUCUAUGAGAAUUAUGUUGUUUAAAAAGAAGAAUGAAAAAGAAAGUAGUGAUGAUAUUCAAAUGAAGAAAGAAGAAAUAAAUAAAAGCUUUAAAAGAAAAUAGUUUUAAGGUGGUGUAAGGGUGGUGAUACAGUGGUACUAUGGUGGUGCUAUGAUGGAGAAAUGGUGGUUGGAGAUGAUGGUAAUGAAUUAUUCAACAAAAAUAAGGUAAAAUAAAGAAAAUGGCAAGGAGGAGAAACCAAAAGGGGUGGCACAGGGUGAUGGAAAGGGAGGAGCAAAGAGAGAAAAGAUUAAACAAAAUUUAAAACAAAUGAAAAGUGAUGAGACAGUAGGUGGGUUGGCACAUAGUCCACAUUCAUCGAAUCAAUGCAUUCAAGAGGGGACAAAGGUGUUAGAGAGAAUUAACAACAAUUAACUUUGGAAGUUAAUCUUUGCAAUUUUGAAAAUAAGGAGUUACAUGCACAUAUAUGGACGAUUUUGCACAAGAAGAAUGGCCAAUUUUGUUCAAAAUUUUAAUAAAAGAUGAUAGCAUGGGAAUUUGGACUUGGUUCACUUAAGAGUUACUUAAGAUACUUAACCACUACACCACUUCCCAAGCUUGUUAAAUGCUAACAACAUUUAUUUUUAAACAAGGCAUAACACAAACUAGGAUUUUGAAGCAAAAUUGGUCAAAAUAGAAAAUGAUGUGAGGGAAAGGAAUCGAAUUCAGAUAUUCAAUGACAACUCCACCGCUACAUAACCACUAGAAUAAAUACUUAUUAUUAUCAAAUGCACAAAGACAACUUUUAAAAAUCAGGGUGUGACCACUCUUGGUUCACUAACCCCAAUUUCUACUAACCCAAUUUUUGGGAUGUGAUAAAGUAACAAUCUCUCCAAGUUAUCUAAAUAUCUCUACCGGUGUCAUCUAUCUAUAGGGAGAGAAGAUAGAACCCUUGUUGAAUUGUAGAGGUUUAUUUCAAAUUGAAAAAUAACUUCCUAGUCCAACUAGGAGAGGGAGAAGGGCUAAUAGGGUUUGCUUCUGAACUUUUAUCCUAGCACUUAACUUAAUCCAACCCAAUACAUAUUUUUCUAUUUUCCAAAAUAAACAUUAAUUUCCCAAUUAAAUAAUUUUCUCAUCCCAAUUUUACCCUCGGUAAAAUUAUGACAAUUUUACCCCUAAUAAAAUUUCCAGGAAAAUAUAUUCAAUAUUUCAUAACUCAACUUGUUCACUAUGAUUGAAUCGUUUAUUUUAAUUUUUAGGGUUUAAAACUGCUCAAAAACAGAAACUCAUUCUUUCGAUCAUUUUUAAAUAAUCCAUAUAUAUAUGCAAAUGGAUCAUUUCUCAUUUCUCAUUUUCAUUUUUUUAGACACCCAUAUCCAUUUCCAAAUGAUUCCAGUUCUCCAUUUCAAAGAAACUAUAAUCAUUUAUUGAUAGAGGGCUGCGUACGGACCAAGAUCGAGUUGUCAAGCCAGAGGAAACUCCUACGAAAAUGCUAGACACUCGGAUCUGAAACGAAAUAGAAAAUUAAGCUUAGAAUCAAUUAGAUUUGAAACGAAAAUACCCAAAAUAAUAAAGGAACAGCCAAGAAUCAAAAACACUUAUGAAUAGCUAUUCUUGGAAGCUAAGAACACGAAAUUAAGCUUCAAGAAGAACUCCCAAUCAGCCGAAUCUAUCAAGUAAACACAAAACAGAAACAAAAAAUUAAAAUUAGAUCGUGAAUACCAAAUUGAAUUAGAGCUAGGGUUUGUGCGGCAAGAAAGAGGGUAUUUGUGAAUCAAGAACGACUCUUGUUGUCCAAGGAUGGUGCCGAACAGAUUCUUGAAGAUUGAAAGGGUUGGAAACACAACAAGAGAGAAUUAAACAGGUUAAUCAAUGAAUUCGACACAAGCAGAAUAGUUAAAAGGAAUGAACAACAAUGAAAAUAAAGAGAAAGUCCUAAGAAGCCUUGAAAUCAAUAAAGAUUUCACAACUCCCCUCCAAUGUGGAAUAAUGGCAAGAAGAAGGCUGAAGAUGGCUCCCACAAUCAAAAAUAUUGUUAAAACUACUUCUAAAGAAAACUCAAGAGAAAAUUCUUGGAGAAACUCAAAGAGAAUUUGCACUAAAAAAAAUCUGAUUUUUAAUGUAUAAUCAAGGUGUUUUUCAUAAGGGUGGCCUACCAAGCCUUAAUAUAAGCCUCCUAACUAUUUUCCUAACCCUAUUAGGAAAUCUAAAAAAAACCUAAUUACUAAUUUCAAGGGGAAAUUCGGCCAAGGCUUUUAAUGGGCUGCUUGGGCUGAAAUUUUUUACAUAGGAAUUAAAUCAUAAAGUCUAAAAAUUAAAACUAGGUAUUUAAAAUUUUACAAAUUGGGCCACUUUGACAAUUUGGCCUGAUUUUCAACUAAGUCUAAUUUAAAUUUCUUGAUUGGGCUUCGAACGUCUUAUUAGGCCUUGCCUUCAAGAACUUGGGCUUGUAAUUCAUUUUCUACCAAAAUUGAUUCGUUGAUGCUCGUAAUUGAGAUCCAAUGUGCCUUAGCUGCAAGAUUCAGUUUCUUGGGCCAAGAUUUGAAAUCUUGAUUUUCUUGAUUCUUGAAAUUACUCAAAACAACAAUAUUGGACCAAGAUUCAGUUUCUUGAUUUUCUUGAAAACAAGAAAGUGGAUCUUGAUUUUCUUUUUCCUUUGUAUACGCAUCUAAGGCCUUGCUAAUGAAGUCUUGAAUGAUUCCAUUUAGUUUCAUACGCAUUUGCCUGGCCUUUGACCUCGUUAUUGGGCCUUGUGGUAAUUUAAGCCCAUCACGUUCUUGAGCUUGAAUUGAGCCUUUGUGACUCGUAUCAUUCCCCCUUCCUCAAAAAGAUUCGUCCUCGAAUAUGAAAAAUCAAAUGGAGAUAAGUUAGCCACAUUGAAAGUAGAACUUACAUUGUACUCACCAGGUAGGUCAAUUUUGUAUGCAUUAUAAUUGAUCCGCUUGAGUACUUGGAAAGACUCAUCGCCGCUUGGAUCCAACUUGGUCUUUCAGCAAAUUGAAUGAGCUCAAGACACAAUGAAUUCAGCAGCAAGACAAAGUAAAAUUCGACUGAAUUUAGACAUACUAAAUCAAAAACAAGACACAUUAAUUAGAUGUAAUGAAACAGGCUUAUUUAUGCUAUGUAAUAACUAAACAUAUUAAAAGCAUGCAUGAAACACAUUAAACACAAAUAAUUAAAUUUGUCCAGAUUUAAACAAAUUAAUUACUAACACUUAUUUAAGCUGAAUUAAAAUUAAUUCUAACACUUAUUUGAGCUGAACUAAAUUUAAUAAACUAACUCAUUUAAUUUAUUCCAGCAAAUUAAAAAUGCAUGAAAUUAAAUAAAAGCGAAUUAAGCUCAACGAGCUAGAAUCAGCUCGAAUUGAACUCCAUGGAGCUCAAACAAGUUAAUUCAGCUUGAUAAAGUUUUCGAAUGGCGCUUGAUGAACUGAACUAAGGGUGUUUUCGGGGCAUGGUCGUAUCAUCCCCCCUUCUUCGAAGCGACUUGUUCUCAAGUCGAUGCGUUGGUUCACUCGAACAUAGCUCCUCUUACUCGACUUUCCUUGAUCGAAUGGGACUAAUGGCAAUUGAGUCCACUGAAAAGAAUAGCAAUGAGUUAGUAAAGAGCAACGCAAACAAACUUGAUGUCCAAUCAUAAGCAUAACAAAACAAGUAUAACCCAUGCGAAUGGACAGAUUCAGAUUACCAUGCAAACAAGCUAAUUUACUUGCUAAUGCCUCGUCAAAUAUUAGAAACAAAGAUGGACAUGUUUUAAGGCAUUCAAUCAUCUCAAAUUAUUUCCACAAACCAUGAAUAAAUCACGAAUAAUAAAUCAAAUGUAAACGUAAUCGUCACAAGUAGGUAUUUGAAAAGGUUCACACAGUUCACAGAGUUGUACAAUCAUACCAUGCAUUAAUCGACGGACUAUAGAUUCACUCACACAUGCAUCAUAAAAAUUAUCAAAAACAAUAAUCUUUUUAUCAACCAUCAAAAUAGAUAGAUCAUCAAUAAAUAAAAUAGGACAGUCAAGCACGUUCCGAUCUAAGUGUUUUACAGAAAUUAAAUCAUCAACACAAUCUUUGUCACUAUCCGAGGACUACAAAAGUGUUUCAAAAGUUUCAAGCAACUUACCUUUAUAAGUAGAAGAAUAAGGGUCGAUUUUACCUUUUCCAUUUAAUACAAACCUUCACUCAUCGGGGGUAUAGUGUAGUCGAAGCUCCGUUGUUAAGUUAACCUUUGUUAAAUGGAACUCAAACUUCAUGUACAACCACAGAAACUGUUUAAGGCACGAAUAUAAAUUGAAAACAAAUUUGGAAACUUUUGUUACCUUUUUCAAAAACCAAGUAUCAAAACAAUAGAAAGUAUUUGCACACAAUAGAUGAUGCUUGAUUUUCCAACAAAAUAUACCAAAAUAGAUUUCGGGUUUAAAAACUUGAUUUUGAUUAGUCAUGCCGAAGUGUAACAAAGAUUUCAUUAAACCAACCAAGUUAAACCAUGAGGAUUUUCGCAUACAUACCAACAUACAUUCAAAACUUUUUUUAUUCUGCAAAAUAGAUUUGCACAAAUUUGCGGAUUUUACACAAUACAAAUCAAGAGAAUAACAACUCACGCUUCCUUUCGUAAUGACUUUAUCAACCACAAUCAAAGAAUAACAAUUAAUCGGAUCAAAAUGAGUGGAUCUUUUAAGAACUAAGUCAC